ACGCUGGCGGCGUGCCUAAUACAUGCAAGUAGAACGCUGAAGGAGGAGCUUGCUUCUCCGGAUGAGUUGCGAACGGGUGAGUAACGCGUAGGUAACCUGCCUGGUAGCGGGGGAUAAUUAUUGGAAACGAUAGCUAAUACCGCAUAAGAGUAGAUGUCGCAUGACAUUUGCUUAAAAGGUGCAAUUGCAUCACUACCAGAUGGACCUGCGUUGUAUUAGCUAGUUGGUGGGGUAACGGCUCACCAAGGCGACGAUACAUAGCCGACCUGAGAGGGUGAUCGGCCACACUGGGACUGAGACACGGCCCAGACUCCUACGGGAGGCAGCAGUAGGGAAUCUUCGGCAAUGGACGGAAGUCUGACCGAGCAACGCCGCGUGAGUGAAGAAGGUUUUCGGAUCGUAAAGCUCUGUUGUAAGAGAAGAACGAGUGUGAGAGUGGAAAGUUCACACUGUGACGGUAUCUUACCAGAAAGGGACGGCUAACUACGUGCCAGCAGCCGCGGUAAUACGUAGGUCCCGAGCGUUGUCCGGAUUUAUUGGGCGUAAAGCGAGCGCAGGCGGUUAGAUAAGUCUGAAGUUAAAGGCUGUGGCUUAACCAUAGUACGCUUUGGAAACUGUUUAACUUGAGUGCAAGAGGGGAGAGUGGAAUUCCAUGUGUAGCGGUGAAAUGCGUAGAUAUAUGGAGGAACACCGGUGGCGAAAGCGGCUCUCUGGCUUGUAACUGACGCUGAGGCUCGAAAGCGUGGGGAGCAAACAGGAUUAGAUACCCCUGGUAGUCCACGCCGUAAACGAUGAGUGCUAGGUGUUAGACCCUUUCCGGGGUUUAGUGCCGCAGCUAACGCAUUAAGCACUCCGCCUGGGGAGUACGACCGCAAGGUUGAAACUCAAAGGAAUUGAC
rnacentral:rRNA from 1 species